UGCCAGUGUCAGGUGGGUGGAGAG
rnacentral:piRNA from 1 species